UACGGAGGGUGCAAGCGUUUAAUCGGAAUUACUGGGCGUAAAGCGUGCGCAGGCGGUUUGUUAAGUCCGUUGUGAAAGCCCCGAGCUCAACUUGGGAAUUGCAGUGGAUACUGGCAGGCUGGAGUACGGUAGAGGAAGGUGGAAUUCCCGGUGUAGCAGUGAAAUGCGUAGAUAUCGGGAGGAACACCAGUGGCGAAGGCGGCCUCUGGACCAGUACUGACGCUCAUGCACAAAAGCGUGGGGAGCAAACGAGG
rnacentral:rRNA from 1 species